rnacentral:rRNA from 1 species
UACGUAGGGUGCAAGCGUUUAUCCGGAAUUAUUGGGCGUAAAGAGCUCGUAGGCGGUUUGUCGCGUCUGCUGUGAAACCCGAGGCUCAACCUCGGGCCUGCAGUGGGUACGGGCAGACUAGAGUGCGGUAGGGGAGACUGGAAUUCCUGGUGUAGCGGUGAAAUGCGCAGAUAUCCGGAGGAACACCGGUGGCGAAGGCGGCUUCCUGGACCGACACUGACGCUGAGGCGCGAAAGCUAGGGGAGCAAACGGG